AAGGAAAAAAGAGGCGAUGACAAAAUAAGGAGGGUAAGAUGCAGCUGGAGGUAGAGGAGGAGGGAAAGCAAAAAAGCUGUGACCACAAAAUGACAAGGAGGGAGACGGAAAAAGCAGCAGUGAUGCAAUGAGGUAGAAGAGGCCGAGGAGAAAAAAAAAAAACGAAACAAAAAAAUCGAAGCAAAAGGAAAAAACCAAUGUCUUCAAAAAAUGGUGGAGGAGGAGGGAAAAACAGCGACAAAAAAUUAGGAGCAAGAGGAAUAAACCAACGUCUUCGAAAUAUGGUGGUGGUGGUGGUGGUGGAGGAGGAGGAUCAAAGUAGCAACUACUAAAUGAGGUCGAUGAGGAAAAUGGCAGCAUCUUGGAAACAUGGUGGAGGAGGUGG